CAGAAAAAUGGAGACGUGUGAUAUUCAUGUUCAAAUGCGAUUCAUGUUCAAAUGAUUAGCAGAAAGAUAAUCAAUUCGAGGCAAUUGAUGUCAGCUCCUGACCCAUGCUCACCUGUUCCUGGAUAACUUUAUACAACAUGGCUUCUUAAUUGAUUUGAGGAAGGUCUUGGAGCACCUUAUGGAGGACAAUUAUGACUGGCCAUUAUGACUGGCCUCAUACUGGCUGCCAAUAUGUUUGCAAUUGCUGCUCUGCUACUUGAGGUGUCUGCAUAAGCCUCUGGAAUCAGUUCAAUUGCCCAGGGGGUUUGAACAAAGGAUCCAAUUCCGGAAAGUUGUAUUCCUGCUCGUAAUGCUGGUGGUUCUUACUCAAAUGAUGGUGGUAAUCGUGCAGCAGAUGCACCAUGAAGAGCAACCUGUCAGGCUGUAUCACUGUCUGAUACGGCAACUGCACCACCCGCAACCGCAGGGCUCUCCAGAGGGUGGUGUCGUCUGCCCAACGCAUCACCGGGGGCACACUGCCUGCUCUCCAGGACACCUACAGCACCCAAUGUCACAGGAAGGACAAAAAGAUCAUCAAGGACAUCAACCACCCGAGACACG
rnacentral:lncRNA from 1 species